ACGUCGGACAUCAAAGUUGUUAGUUGUUUUUAAUUCGUGUUUCUGUGGCGGUGGAAACGGAAUUUGUUUUGAAUUUUUGGUUUCGUAGUAAGCAAGCGUGCGAUUAUAAAAUUUAUUUUCAUAUUCUGCAUUUUAUGUGCAUACGGUUUAACAGCAUCUAAUGGGAAUACUCAAACCCGGUCUACUUUAUCGGUUCGGAAGAUAUUCUUAACUUCAUCUCUAGCGAGUUUAAGUGCAUUAUGUGCGCGUAAUUCAACGGCAAAUAACAAGUGUUAAUUUCACGAAGCAGGAAUAUUGGUAUCAAAGAAUGAAGUGGCACUUAUGUGCAACAAGAAUAUAAUUAUACAACAAUUAAAUUAUUUCCAUAUAAAAAGUGUUGCUAAUCAAGUUAAUCAAACUUCCAAUGAAAAAGUGAAAAUAGUGAGUGAGUACUUGAUUAAUUAAAAAAGUGUUAUAAUAAUAUAAUAAUACGUAUGUAAAAAUAAAAGCAAAAGUGCCAGCGUGCAGUAAAAAUAAAUCUUAAACUUAAUUAGACGAAGUGAAUUAAAUGCUGUCAUCCAAGAGUCGCAAGGCUACGAUAACACGUUGAUCACGGCGAUUUAGUUACCAGCAAGCAGUGUAUUUGUUGUUUGUGCCAACUCUGGCUAGCUGAGCGAACUUUUUAACUGAUUCAUGCCAAAGGAUUAAUGCUCUGUUACUUUGGUGCGGAGCACUCAGUAAAAAGCGAGUAAGACGACCAACACCGGCAUUUUAAGUUUCAUUGACAAUAACAACAAAAGUGUGAAAAGUGCAAAAGCAAAAGCAAAUACAAAAGAUUACAUUUCCAUAACUGCACGAACGAAAUCAAUCAAAUACAACCGACCAACGGCCGUUUUACUUUUUCUUCAACUUGAACGCUUCAAUAUCUUUCCAGCUCACAUCAACUUUUUCGGACAAAAGAAAGUGUUAAAUUUUAG